rnacentral:rRNA from 1 species
AGAAUCAACGCUGGCGGCGUGCCUAACACAUGCAAGUCGCACGAGAAAGUGGAGCAAUCCAUGAGUAAAGUGGCGCACGGGUGAGUAACACGUGAAUAAUCUACCUCCGAGUGGGGAAUAACUGAGAGAAAUCUUAGCUAAUACCGCAUAAUACCCACGGGUCAAAGCAGCAAUGCGCUUUGGAGAGGAGUUCGCGGCCGAUUAGCUAGUUGGCGGGGUAAUGGCCCACCAAGGCGAUGAUCGGUAU